rnacentral:rRNA from 1 species
UACGUAGGUGGCAAGCGUUUGUCCGGAUUUAUUGGGUUUAAAGGGUGCGUAGGCGGUCCCAUAAGUCAGUGGUGAAAUACUCUAGCUUAACUAGAGGGGUGCCAUUGAUACUGUGGGACUUGAGUAGAGUUGAAGUGGGCGGAAUUGACGGUGUAGCGGUGAAAAUGCUUAGAUAUCGUCAAGAACACCGAUAGUGAAGACAGCUCACUAAGCUCAAACUGACGCUGAGGCACGAAAGUGUGGGGAUCAAACAGG